GACGAACGCUGGCGGCGUGCUUAACACAUGCAAGUCGAACGAAGUGGCGAACGGGUGAGUAACGCGUAAUCAACCUGCCCUUCAGAGGGGGACAACAGUUGGAAACGACUGCUAAUACCGCAUACUGAAGGAGGGGAUUGCGUCUGAUUAGCUAGUUGGCGGGGUAACGGCCCACCACGGCGAUGAUCAGUAGGCGGUCUGAGAGGAAGGACGGGCCCCGUGGGACCGAGACACGGGCCAGACUCCCUAGGGGUGCCGCAGUGGGGAAAUAUUCGCCAUUGACGAAAGUGCGACGGAGGAAAGCCGGGUGAGGGAUGACGGCCCUUGGGGUGUAAAGAGCUGUUAAUCGGGACGCGGUACUCGAAUAGAAAGCAACGGCUAACUACGUGCCAGCAGCCGCGGUAAUUC
rnacentral:rRNA from 1 species